UACGGGGGGGCAAGCGUUGUUCGGAAUUACUGGGCGUAAAGGGUUCGUAGGUGGCUUGCUAAGUCACACGUGAAAUCCCUCAGCUUAACUGGGGAACUGCGUGUGAUACUGGCGAGCUUGAGUGCAGGAGAGGAACGCGGAAUUCCAGGUGUAGCGGUGAAAUGCGUAGAUAUCUGGAGGAACACCGGUGGCGAAGGCGGCUUCCUGGACCGACACUGACGCUGAGGCGCGAAAGCUAGGGGAGCAAACGGG
rnacentral:rRNA from 1 species